rnacentral:rRNA from 1 species
CCCUUAGAUGUCCGGGGCCGCACGCGCGCUACACUGAAGGAAUCAGCGUGGCUUUCUCCCUGACCCGAAAGGGUUGGGAAACCCGUUGAAUCUCCUUCGUGAUAGGGAUUGGGGCUUGAAAUUGUUCCCCAUGAACGAGGAAUUCCCAGUAAGCGCGAGUCAUAAGCUCGCGUUGAUUACGUCCCUGCCCUUUGUACACACCGCCCGUCGCUACUACCGAUUGAACGGUUUAGUGAGGGCCUCGGAUUGGUCUCGGCCCGCUCUUUACCGGGCGGCGCCGUUGGUCGAGAAGACGCUCGAACUUGACCGUUUAGAGGAAGUAAAAGUCGUAACA